CAGAGGCUGAUGGGACGCUACAGUCAGUGCAGCUGCCAGCGUCGGUACCAUGGCGACGCGCGGUAGGACUCCGAUAGCAAUGGCGGUUUGGUCCAUUUUAUCCAGUGGGGCUGUGAUUGCGUUCUUCCUGUUGUUCUUUUCUCGCGUCUCACAGGCCCAGACUUUCUCCUUCCCUUUCCAGCAGCCGGAGAAGUGCGACCUUAACCACUACUUCGAUAUCUCUGUGCUUUCCUGUGUCCCGUGUGGAGCCAACCAGAGGCAGGAUGCCCGAGGAACUUCAUGUGUAUGUCUGCCAGGAUUUCAGAAGCUCUCUAGUAAUGGAAGACCUGCUAUUAUUUGUAAAAAGUGCCCAGAAGACAGGAAAGGUGUUACUAAAGAUGGCUGGAACUGCAUUUCUUGCCCCCAUGGCUUAACUGCAGAAGGAAAAUGCUACUGUCCCACUGGUCAUAUUUUAGUGGAAAGAGAUGUUAAUGGGAUGUUGUUGUCUGAAGCAACUUGUGAGCUCUGUAAUGAAAGGGAAGACUCUUUUACAGUACCAAAUGCUUUAGGAAACAGGUGCAUCCGAUGUGAACCAACAUUCAUUAAUACCACCAAGUCCUGUGCAUGUUCUGAACCUAACAUUUUAACAGGGGGAUUAUGUUUCAGCAACACAGGGAAUUUUCUUCCAUGUAGGAUUUCAACUGCACGUUAUGGAGAGCUUGGCAUGUCCUUAACUUCAGAAUGGUUUGCAAAGUAUUUGCAAUCAUCAGCAAUUGCAUGUCAGAUGAAUGCUAAUCUAACAUCUUGCCAAGUUCUUGGAAAUAUGUGUGUGAUGAACAUGAAUUCUUAUGAUUCUGCCACAUGUGAUGCAUGUCGACUGUUUCAGUUUAUCUUUGAGAAUACUGCUUCACUGAGCACUGUUCAUUCUAUUUCAUUUUGGAGGCAGAAUCUUCCAUGGCUGUUUUAUGGAGACCAGCUAGGAUUAGCACCUCAAAUACUCACUACUACCCCUCUUCCUACAAAUUUCAGUUUUAAAGGGGAAAACCAGAAUACAAAACUGAAGUUUGUUGCUGCUUCCUAUGAUAUAAGAGGCAAUUUUCUCAAGUGGCAAACUUUAGAAGGAGGUAUUUUACAGCUUUGUCCAGACACAGAGACAAGGCUAAAUGCUGCUUAUUCUUUUGGAACCACGUAUCAACAAAAUUGUGAGAUUCCUAUUUCUAAGAUCUUAACCGACUUUCCCACUCCUAUAUUUUAUGAUGUGUACCUUGAAUAUACUGAUGAAAACCAACACCAAUAUAUUUGGGCUGUGCCUGUGUUAAACCUAAAUCUUCAACAUAAUAAAAGAUUUGUGAACCAAGACAGUAGCACUGGCAUGUGGCUUCUGACUCGGCGCAUUUUCUUAGUGGAUGCAAUAAGUGGACGAGAAAAUGACUUAGGAAGUCAGCCAAAAGUAAUUCGAAUUGCUACUCAAAUAUCACUGAGCAUCAACCUUGUACCUAACACAAAAAAUGGAAACAUCUACCCUCCCUUAAUCACUAUUGCCUACCGUGACAUUGAUAUCAAAGAUCCUAAGAGUCAGUCUGUGGAGGUUUCUUUCUCAGUCAAAUAUGAAAUGAAUCAAGGAGAAGCACAUGUUCAGACAGAUAUUGCUUUGGGUGUGUUGGGUGGGCUAGCUGUUUUAGCAGCCCUUUUAAAGACAGCAGCAUGGAAGAGGCGCAUUGGGAGUCCCAUGAUUGAUUUACAGACAGUUAUGAAAUUCUUGUUGUACUAUGCUGGUGAUCUCGCCAAUGUUUUCUUUAUCAUCACAGUGGGAACAGGUCUUUAUUGGCUUAUUUUCUUCAAAGCACAGACAUCUGUCUCUGUUUUGCUACCAAUGACAGUUCAAGAAGAACGUUUUGUUACUUAUGUGGGAUGUGCUUUUGCUCUAAAGGCACUGCAAUUUUUGCAUAAACUCAUAUCCCAGAUUACCAUAGAUAUAUUCUUUAUUGAUUGGGAGCGACCUAAAGGAAAGGUUCUUAAAGCUGUUGAAGGUGAGGGUGGUGUACGGAGUGCCACUGUUCCUGUAAGCAUAUGGAGAACAUAUUUUGUAGCAAAUGAAUGGAAUGAAAUUCAGACUGUGAGAAAAAUUAAUUCACUCUUUCAAGUACUUACUGUCCUCUUCUUUUUGGAGGUUGUGGGAUUCAAGAACUUAGCAUUAAUGGACUUAUCCUCUAGUCUCUCUAGAAGCCCACGUAGCUACAUAGCUCCUGAUAGCCGCAUUUUGAGAUAUGCAGUAUCUGCUGCUCUUUGGCUAGUCGUUGGAAUUAUACAGAUCGUGUUCUUUGCUGUCUUUUAUGAGAGAUUUAUAGAAGAUAAAAUUCGACAGUUUGUUGAUUUAUGCACUAUGAGUAAUAUAUCAGUGUUUCUGUUAUCCCACAGAUGUUUUGGAUAUUACAUUCACGGUAGAUCAGUACAUGGCCAUUCAGAUACUAAUAUGGAAGAAAUGAAUAUGAAUCUUAAAAGAGAAGCGGAAAAUUUGUGUAGCCAGAGAGGUUUGGUACCCAACACGGAUGGUCAGACUUUUCAGAUUGCAAUUUCUAGCCAGAUGAGACAACACUAUGACAGAAUUCAUGAGACACUAAUGAGGAAAAAUGGCCCAGCUAGACUACUGACUUCAUCAGCAAGUACUUUUGAGCACAGUGUAAGAGCGUAUCAUACCAUGAAUAAAUUUCUUGGCUCUUUCAUUGAUCAUGUUCACAAGGAGAUGGACUACUUUAUAAAAGAUAAAUUGCUUCUUGAAAGAAUUCUUGGAAUGGAAUUUAUGGAACCAAUGGAAAAAAGCAUCUUUUACAAUGAUGAAAGUUAUUCUUUCAGCAGUGUUCUGUAUUAUGGAAAUGAAGCCACUCUUCUUAUUUUUGAUCUGCUAUUCUUCUGUGUUGUGGAUUUGGCUUGCCAAAAUUUUGUUUUAGCAGCCUUUCUUACAUACUUACAGCAAGAGAUUUUUCGAUUUAUCCGUAAUACAGCAGGACAAAAGAAUUUGGCAUCCAAGACAUUGGUAGAUCAAAGAUUUCUGAUUUAAUUUAUUGAAUAGAUUCUGAAAGACUCAGUAUAAUCAUGGCAAAAAAAUGUCAUGAUAUCAGGCUUUGGGAAGAUAGCACUAUUCCAGUCAUUGCCAAAGUUGAAUCUUCCAUAAUUUCCCUGAAUCUGGAGGAUGACUAAGGAGAAAGAGGGAGGCUAAUACGUCUUUGAAACUCCAGUUUCUGAAGGAUCACAGUACAGGAAUACCUCUAUACAAGCUGCAGAGACAAAUAAAUAUUCUGGCAUGGAUUUUUAAAAUCACCCACUCAGAAGCAUAUGAAAGAAUGACAACCGUCAUCCCACAUAUGAAAAGUUAAUAUUAGUAUACAUGAUUUUAAAUGGUAAAUUUCAAAAUACAGGAUCAGUUGGCUCACUUGCUGAUAAAUGAAAACAGAGAAAGCAUUUAAAAAUUCAUUCUAAGUUAAUUUUGUACAAUAUUUUUAUUUUGGUUAUCUAAUCAUAAAAUAUAAUAUAAAAAACAUGUUCAUAUUUUCAUACACUGUUGGCUCCUUUGUUCACAUUGCCACAAUUUAAAUUUUAUGGUCAUGUGCAUAAUUCUACACUAGAUGCAUUAUCUUUUUUCUAUUCCUGUAGUACCAAGUCACCGUACUUUGCAUCUUACAUCCCUAAUUUUACUGAUUACCUAGAAACAUUCGAUAUUUUUUUAUCAUUUUAUAAUGAAACAAAACCUAGAGAGGUUCUUUAUAAGCUGUUAUGUACUUUAUAUCCUCUUUAGAAAUAUAAAGACCCCUAAAAUACUCUGCAGCCCAGUGCCUCUGUUAUGAGAGAUUUAUAAAUACUUACUUCUCUGGCACUGCUGUCCCAACUAACUUUCUUUUGAGAAGACUCUGCUGGUUACCUACAUUGAGGAGCUUUCAAAAUGAUCAUUAACUCAAUGCUUGCAGGUAUGAAGCAUGUAUCCUUUUUGUUGUCUAUAAAUAUUGACCAACAUAAGCUGAAGGGAAAUAAAUGUUAAGUUAGGGAACAGGAACCAGUGUGGCUUAAUGGAAAAUGCUUCAGAUUUAGUAACAGAUGCCCUGUAUUCAAAUGAGAAUUUUGCCCUUCUCACUUAUGAGCUUUGGUACCUUGAACCAAGUCAUUUGGUAUCUUUGAGCUUCAUUCUGAAUCUCUACAAUGGAAAUAAUACCCUUUGCUUACCUAAGGAUUAGUUUUUAAAGAAAUGCUUAUCACAUUGAAUAAAGUAUGAACACUGGAAUUUUUAUAACUUUUGGUUUAAAAUAUCUGCCUCAAAAUAUAUUUUCUAUCUUUAUAAUAAAUUAAUUCCAUGAUAUUAAAGCUCU